rnacentral:rRNA from 1 species
CGAUGAUUAAUACCGAAUGUGUUCGGGUGCUUCAUGGCACCCUCUAUAAAGGCGGGGAUUCUUCGGAACCUGUCGCAAAGAGAUAAGCCCAAGUCCUAUCAGCUUGUUGGUGAGGUAACGGCUCACCAAGGCUUACGGGUAGCGGGUCUGAGAGGAUGAUCCGCCACACUGGGACUGAGACACUGCCCAGACUCCUACGGGAGGCUGCAGUCGAGAAUCAUUGUCAAUGCACGAAAGUGUGAACAUGCGACGCCGCGUGGAGGAAGACGGCCUUUGGGUUGUAAACUCCUGUCAGCAGGGAGUAAGGAUGGAUCACUUAAUACGUGUUCUGUUUGAUAGUACCUGCAGAGGAAGUCACGGCUAACUCUGUGCCAGCAGCCGCGGUAAUACAGAGGUGGCGAACGUUGUUCGGAUUUACUGGGCGUAAAGGGUCCGCAGGCGGAUCGGUGUGUCAGAUGUGAAAGCCCACGGCUUAACCGUGGAAUUGCAUUUGAAACUGCCGGUCUAGAGUACUGGAGGGGAGAAGGGAACACUUGGUGUAGCGGUGAAAUGCGUAGAUAUCAAGUGGAACACCGGUGGCGAAGGCGCUUCUCUGGACAGAUACUGACGCUCAUGGACGAAAGUUAGGGUAGCGAAAGGGAUUGGAUACCCCCGUAGUCCUAACCGUAAACGGUGUGCACUAGACGUGGGAGGCUUUACCCCCUUCCGUGUCUGAGCUAACGCAUUAAGUGCACCGCCUGGAGAGUACGGUCGCAAGAUUAAAACUCAAAGGAAUUGACGGGGACCCGCACAAGCGGUGGAGCAUGCGGCUUAAUUCGAUGCAACGCGAAGAACCUUACCUGAGCUUGAACUGUGGGCAUUAGCUACCUGAAAGGGAUAGUGAUCCUUCUUUGAAGGAACCUACAGAGGUGCUGCAUGGCUGUCGUCAGCUCGUGUCGUGAGAUGUUGGGUUAAGUCCCGCAACGAGCGCAACCCUUACUAUUAGUUGUCAGCGAGUUAAGUCGGAUACUCUAAUGGGACUGCCGGUGACGAGCCGGAGGAAGGUGGGGAUGACGCCAAGUCAGCAUGGCCUUUAUGUUCAGGGCUACACACGUGCUACAAUGGAUGGUACAGAGGGCUGCAAGCCCGCGAGGUGGAGCAAAUCCUUAAAACCAUUCUCAGUUCGGAUUGCAGGCUGCAAUUCGCCUGCAUGAAGCUGGAAUUGCUAGUAAUCGCGAAUCAGCUACGUCGCGGUGAAUGCGUUCUCGGGUCUUGUACACACCGCCCGUCACAUCACGAAAGCUGGUGGCGCCAGAAGUCACUGGUCUAACCUAUUUUUAAUAGGAGGAAGGUGCCGAAGGUGCUGCUAGUGAUUGGGGUGAAGUCGUAACAAGGUA